rnacentral:lncRNA from 7 species
CAACAUAUUCACAAAGGAGACAAACCACAACAUCACCAUGCACCAGCCUCUGUUUCAUAGAACAGUCCGCCACAACACAACACAGAUUACUGACUCUUCAACACAGCAAGUAUAAAACCAAACUGAGAAAGUGAGAAGCAACAUAGCACAGCAUAGUUGCCACCAUAUCACAACAAUUUGAUUCUACAGCUGUUGGAGUUGACAAACAAAUGAAGACAAUUGAUGUUCAAC